rnacentral:rRNA from 1 species
AACGAACGCUGGCGGCAUGCCUAACACAUGCAAGUCGAACGAAACCUUCGGGUCUAGUGGCGCACGGGUGCGUAACGCGUGGGAACCUGCCCUUAGGUUCGGAAUACCUCCCCGAAAGGGGUGCUAAUACCGGAUAAUGUCUUCGGACCAAAGAUUUAUCGCCUUUGGAUGGGCCCGCGUUGGAUUAGCUAGUUGGUAGGGUAAAAGCCUACCACGGCGACGAUCCAUAGCUGGUCUGAGAGGAUGAUCAGCCACACUGGGACUGAGACACGGCCCAGACUCCUACGGGAGGCAGCAGUGGGGGAUAGUGGACAAUGGGCGAAAGCCUGAUCCAGCAAGGCCGCGUGAGUGAUGAAGGCAUUAGGGUUGUAAAGCUCUUUUACCCGGGAUGAUAAUGACAGUACCGGGAGAAUAAGCGACGGCUAACUACGUG